rnacentral:rRNA from 1 species
UACAGAGGGUGCGAGCGUUAAUCGGAUUUAUUGGGCGUAAAGGGCGCGUAGGCGGGGAUAAUAGUCAGAUGUGAAAUCCUGGGGCUCAACCUCAGAACUGCAUUUGAAACUGUAUCUCUAGAGGGUAGGAGGAGAAAACGGAAUUCCACAAGUAGCGGUGAAAUGCGUAGAUAUGUGGAAGAACACCGGUGGCGAAGGCGGUUUUCUAUCUUAUUCCUGACGCUGAGGCGCGAAAGCAAGGGGAUCAAACAGG